AGCGGAUGUACUGUUCCAUCAACGUGGGCGCACAAGUGUACGCGCAUGAAUUGGCGGCCAUUUCUUCACUUUCUGCAAACGAACUUCGACGGACUUGCUGAGACGAAUCAUCAUCGAUUGCCUGGAUUUUUGCCUAGAAUUGCUCCUGCUGUGUUCGCCUAAUCAACCAUCGUCUCGUGGACUCUGAUGAUAGCGAAAAAGACCCGGGAAAUAGUGACCUCGCAUCUCUGGGGUUGGCAAACCAAUUGCACAGGCAGACUCCACCGUCUCACCAAGUGCCAGCAAGAGUCAUUAGUACCGGUACUCAACUCCUCACCUGGAGAUAACUUUCUAGCACCUCACCAUGGGGGAGGACGUAUUCAUAUGCCUUCACCAGCACCUGCAUUAAACAUGCAGAGAGUUACACAAGGAACGGCAGUCCCUCCUCGACUCCCUCAACAUGUGGCAGACAGAGGAGCCUGGAUCCCGCCUAGCCUAAAGGCCAACAUGGCGUGGGGGAAGAAUGGCCGACAACAUUUCCUGCUCUGCGGCUGAGGUCCAGAUCCCUAGCCUGCUGUAAACUAUUAAACACACCCAAGACCAGCUGAUGGUGGAGGUCAACUUCUUAACCAGCAGGUUGACCAGUACCCCGGGGCCAGAAGUGGAAAUGCCGGCCAAUAUCCAGUUUUCACUGGAACAGUUGGAGGCAUUUGAGGCACUUCUGACAACCCUGACAGCCCUUCUGAAAACCCUGACAGCCCUUCUGUCAGCCCUGACAACGAGGCCUGUCCUGAACCGCCUUUUCCCAGUGGUAAAAUUAUGUCAGUGAGCCACAAUCUGCCUGGUUUGACAUCGUGUGUAAAGGUAGCAUAGGUCCAUGAGCCAAGAGAACAGGUUCUGUUUUUUUUACAUUUCAGGACGCUUCCAACAGGAACAAAAUCGUUUUAAAUGCACCUUAAGCUUUAAAAUGUUUACCUGUUUGUUUAAAGAGAUGUCUAUGCCUUUUAGAUUUCUUCUUUGGGCACCGUUGGAGGCCAGGACGUGAAGCGGGUGACCUGGAACAUCCUGGGCAGGAUUUUCACCAAUGUCCUCCCCGUGAAUGCGUGGGUUCCCUCCGGGUACUCCGGCUUCCUCCCACUUCCAAAGACAUGCACCUGGGGAUAGGUUGAUUGGCAACACUAAAUUGGCCCUAGUGUGUGAAUGUGAGUGUGAAUGUUGUCUAUCUGUGUUGGCCCUGCGAUGAGGUGGCGACUUGUCCAGGGUGUACCCCGCCUUCCGCCCGAUUGUAGCUGAGAUAGGCGCCAUCGCCCCCCGCGACCCCAAAAAAAGGGAAUAAGCGGUAGAAAAUGGAUGGAUGGAUGGACGUUUCACAUCAAAUUAAUUGGAAGGGUGUCAAUAACAAAAAGGCCUUUAGCGGGAUGGCAACAAAGACCUUGCUUUUCAGUAAGUAUAUAUCAUUCAAGGUAAUAUUACAUACGUUCAAAGUCAAUAGUGGGGGCAGCGGAAUGGUUUCUAUUGGUUAUAAGUUCAGUGGGCACUCGGCUACGUAUUUAUAUGAUGUGAGGUCUUGUUAAUAGGCCUACACGAAUACAUACAGAAUGAUAGUACAAAUAUAAUAAGAAAACAUGCAAUGUCAACUUCUUAAAGUUUGGUUAUGGAUAUGUAUUUAUGCCACACCCUCCUCCCAACCCCGCCGCCGUCAUCCAACAGAGCCAAAAAAACGUGAGAAAAAAAACAAGAUUUAUCCACAUACAGUACUCUGAUCAAGGAACCAAAUAACGAUAUUGUUUGAACAUUUUGGAUGUCUUGCACACCUAUACCCUGAUCACAAAUUCAGUGUCCGCACCUCUUAUUUUAACCACCUCCUGUAACUUUAAGUCCUGUUUCUUUUUCAAAUGUAAUCUCCUUAAUACUGCGAUGAGGUGGCGAUUUUUCCAGGGUGAACCCCGCCUUCCGCCCGAUUAUAGCUGAGAUAGGCGCCAGCGCCCCCCGCGACUCCAGAAGGGAAUAAGCGGUGCUGUAAGAAAAAAUGGGGUGACAAGGUCAGCCACAGACGCUGAGGUCACCAAACACGCAAUCAGGUGGUUCAACCUGGCGGCGGAUCGGGCAGCGAGGAGGCGAGUCCCGCCUCCACCUCCACAGACAGAUCAGGAGGAAUAGAAAUAUGUAUCAAUAAAAAACCUUUUAUUGAACUUGUCA